AAUCGAAGCAGUGAACUUAAGCCCCAGUAAACGGCGGCCGUAACUAUAACGGUCCUAAGGUAGCGAAAUUCCUUGUCGGGUAAGUUCCGACCCGCACGAAAGGCGUAACGAUUUGGGCACUGUCUCAACAACAGACUCGGUGAAAUUGUAAUUCCGGUGAAGAUGCCGGAUACCUACGACAGGACGGAAAGACCCCAUGGAGCUUUACUGUAGCUUGACAUUGGGUCUUGGUACUACAUGUACAGGAUAGGUGGGAGGCUUUGAAACCAGGACGCCAGUUUUGGCGGAGCCAUCCUUGGGAUACCACCCUUGUAGUACUGGGACUCUAACCAUAGGCCAUGAAUCUGGUCUUGGGACACUGUCAGGUGGGCAGUUUGACUGGGGCGGUCGCCUCCCAACAGGUAACGGAGGCGCUCAAAGGUUCUCUCAGUACGGUCGGAAAUCGUACGUAGAGUGUAAAGGCAAAAGAGAGCUUGAUUGCAAGACAUACAGGUCGAGCAAGGAUGAAAAUCGGACUUAGUGAUCCGGUGGUUCUGCGUGGAAGGGCCAUCGCUCAACGGAUAAAAGCUACCCUGGGGAUAACAGGCUUAUCUCCCCCAAGAGUCCACAUCGACGGGGAGGUUUGGCACCUCGAUGUCGGCUCAUC
rnacentral:rRNA from 1 species